rnacentral:tRNA from 1 species
GCGAACGUGGUGAAGUGGUUAACACAUCUGGCUGUGAACCAGACAUUCGUGAGUUCGAUUCUCAUCGUUCGCCCCA